UUGAGAGCCGUCUGGUUCGAUUUCGACUGGCUGGUCUGAGAGUUUCAGGGGUAAAGAUGGGAGAGCUGGGUUGGUUCUUCAAUGUCUACAUCUGGAGGCUUCGACUGUUUUACAUAGCUUGCUACCAUAAAAAAGCUGAUGUGGUUUGCUUAAGGCUCUCCACUUAGCCUCUUCUUCUCUUCCCUAUUUGCCCAGCCAUACGCACUCUUCUGUUGCAAACGUUUAAUCGUUUCUACAGCAAAACACCACCAAUUUAAUAAUUGGAAAUUUUGAAUUAGAGAUUUGUCCCUUGCAUCGUUUGUCUUCAGCUGUUGUGAUCCUGCUUUUGUGUGGCUGUUUUUCAGAGUGCUUGAUAGCUUCUUUGACUACAGAUCUUCAUGCUAUCUUCUUCACCUCACCAAGCCACUUCCACCAGAUCUUAAAAGAUAAUUUCUUUGUUAAUUUCCAGUUGAUGAAAUGGGAGAACCUCAAAUGGAAGAUCUAUCCACAUCAAAUCCCGUGAUUGAACUGGAAGGGGAUGAAUUUUGGCCACUUUCUGGGAAACCCUUUUUUGAUGUGGUUCUGACGAAAACAACUAUCAAACCCAUGUACCAACUGGUGGUCCCAGGCAAAUUUAGUGCAACACUACCUUCCUGUUCAAUCCCCACGGUUCUCACAUUUCAAGGCAAGAAUUGGGAGAUGACAUAUCAUGGAUCAUCCAAUUAUAAAAAGCUUGAUAACUGGAAAGUGUUUGCCAUUGACAACAAUUUGAAGGUUGGAGAUGCAUGUGUGUUUGAACAACUGGAGUGCAGCAGUACUAGGCUAGUAUUCAGAGUCCAAAUUCUCAGAGGUGACAUCCCAUCUGAAUUUCUAGACAGGCUUGAUGGUGAUAAUGUAGAUACACCAAUUGUUCUCGAAUAGUAUAUGCCGUAUUGUCUUUUACUGGAUGUUAUCAAUUUCCCGAAUGAGGUUACUUUCGGAAGCUAAUAUGAUUUGAAUUUGAUGGAACUCUAGCAGAACCUAUUAAGGAUGCGAUAAUUGUAUGAUUUUGAGUCCAUGUGUUCCAGUCUAGAAGUUAUGGUGUCAUUUGACACAAUACUUAAGUAACAUGAGUAUCUAUUACUGUUUGGAUACCUUUAAAGAAUGUAAUUUAGUAGCGUACUUUCUAACAAACAUCCUCUUUAAUAAUUUUGUAC